rnacentral:rRNA from 1 species
GACGAACGCUGGCGGCGUGCUUAACACAUGCAAGUCGAACGGAAAGGCCCUGCUUUUGUGGGGUGCUCGAGUGGCGAACGGGUGAGUAACACGUGAGUAACCUGCCCUUGACUUUGGGAUAACUUCAGGAAACUGGGGCUAAUACCGGAUAGGAGCUCCUGCUGCAUGGUGGGGGUUGGAAAGUUUCGGCGGUUGGGGAUGGACUCGCGGCUUAUCAGCUUGUUGGUGGGGUAGUGGCUUACCAAGGCUUUACGGGUAGCCGGCCUGAGAGGGUGACCGGCCACAUUGGGACUGAGAUACGGCCCAGACUCCUACGGGAGGCAGCAGUGGGGAAUAUUGCACAAUGGGCGGAAGCCUGAUGCAGCAACGCCGCGUGCGGGAUGACGGCCUUCGGGUUGUAAACCGCUUUCGCCUGUGACGAAGCGUGAGUGACGGUAAUGGGUAAAGAAGCACCGGCUAACUACGUG